GGCAAGGUGGCUCAGUGGUUAGAGCGCGAAUUGACUGACCAGGAGGUCCGUGGUUCGAAUCCGACCUCUGCCU
rnacentral:tRNA from 1 species